UAUCAUGUUGAAACACCGAUUAUCGUAAGAUCACCGAAGUUAAGCAACGUCGAGCCUGGUCGGUAACUGGAUGGGUGACUGCUUGGUAAUACCAGGUGAUAC